rnacentral:rRNA from 1 species
UGGGGAAUUUUGGACAAUGGGCGCAAGCCUGAUCCAGCCAUACCGCGUGAGUGAAGAAGGCCUUCGGGUUGUAAAGCUCUUUCAGACGGAAAGAAACGGUUACGGCUAAUACCCGUGACUAAUGACGGUACCGUAAGAAGAAGCACCGGCUAACUACGUGCCAGCAGCCGCGGUAAUACGUAGGGUGCGAGCGUUAAUCGGAAUUACUGGGCGUAAAGCGUGCGCAGGCGGUUUGGUAAGACAGAUGUGAAAUCCCCGGGCUUAACCUGGGAACUGCAUUUGUGACUGCCAGACUAGAGUGUAGCAGAGGGGGGUAGAAUUCCACGUGUAGCAGUGAAAUGCGUAGAUAUGUGGAGGAAUACCGAUGGCGAAGGCAGCCCCCUGGGCUAACACUGACGCUCAUGCACGAAAGCGUGGGGAGCAAACAGGAUUAGAUACCCAUGUAGUCCCUG